rnacentral:lncRNA from 1 species
UUUUUCUUUUUUUUUUUUUAAGAUUUAUUUAUUUAUUUAUUUAUUUAUUUAUUUAUUUAUUUAUUUAUUCAUGAGAGACACACAGAAAGAGGCAGACACCGGCAGAGGAAGACACAUGCAGGGAGCCCAAUGCAGGACUCAAUCCCAGGACCCCAGGAUCACAACCUGAGCCAAAGGCAGAUAUUCAACCACUGAGCCACCCAGGUGUCCCUGAAUUUUCAUUUUAGGUAUGUUAGUUGCAUGCAUUCUUUUCAAUUAUCUGAUAUGUGAUUUAAAAAUUGGUAUUUCUUAGCAUAAACUUUGAUAAUUCAUCAAUUACUAAAAAACAUCUAUUUUAAAUACACACUUGACAUUUGACAUAUGUGUCACAAAAUAUGAAACAUACUUCAGUACUUAGGAUCUUAUAGUCUGGAAGUAAAAAUGUAAAUUUUAACCAAAUAACUCUUUCAUAAAGUAAUAUGCUAAAAGUAUCACAUGGUAAUUCAUUAUAAAAAAAGAACCAAUGUGAUUUUAUCUAUAUUGAAGUGGUCACUCAGCUAUAAGUAACAUUUAACACCCGCUAUUUCUUUUAUGGUUUUCAAAUCAAUACUUUUAAUUCAGUUUUUCUUUGAAGGUAUAUCUCCUUCCUCCAGAAAAUAGGAAUGACAAUUAUGUAACUGGUUAUGACUUGUUUGCUUUGACUACCAAGGAACAAAAUAUAGCAACGAUGUCAAUCUUGAUGGUUCAGGCAUUUAAAUUAUUCUUUACAUCAUUUUUUUUAAAGCUUGUUCUUUUCUUUGUAGUUUUCCUUUUAUAUAUUGUUAUUUGCCUUUUAUUAUUGUUAUUAUUGAUUUAUUUUUGUUAUUUUUUAAAAAAAUUAUUUCUUAAUUUGAAAGAGAAAGUACAUGCAGUGCAGGUAAGGUGGGGAGCAGGGAGAGAGAAAAUCUCAAGCAGAUUCCCCAUUGAGUGUGGAGCCUGCCUAUGCAGGGCUUGAUCUCCUGACCCUGAGAUCAUGACCUUAGAUGAAAUCAAGAGUCCUACGCUUAACAGACUGAGCCAUCCACGUGCCCCUAUUUAUGUUUCUUUUGUAAAUCACCUAACUCUUCAUAAAACACAUAUAUAACUCUGAAUACUCAAUACUUAUUUUGUAAAGAAUUCUUGUAGCUUCUUAAACUAUAUUUUCUCUUUUUCUAUUUGUUCUCAUAAUAUCAAAAUAUAACUGCUUUAAUGAAAAAGAUUAGUGAAGUGUUUGAAAGUUGAAUUUUUUCUGUUGGAAUUUGAAUUUUCAUUUAAGUGAUUAUUUACUACUAUACAGAUUCUCAGGGAACUACACUGAAGAAAAAACAUGAGGGGAUUUGAGAAUUCUUUUGUUAAAAUUUUGAGAAUUUAAUCUUGAGUUAUUUAUAAUUUAAAAAGUUGGUUAACAUGAUAAAGACUUUAUUUGACGUAUUUCCUUUUCUCAAUAUAGGUCUAAAUUUGCAUGCAAAAGCAAAAGCUUAUUCUAUGUUCCUUAUAUUGAAUUAAGUACCAGCUUCUGCCUUUCAAUUUUCAAUUAAAGUAGACAUUUUUAUCAUCAAAACCACUCACUCCUGCUUAUUCAAACCUUAAGAUAUAUAAGACUGUGCAAAAAAGAGCAGAGUUUACCAACCAUUUUAGCACUUAAAAAUACCUGAAUAUACUGUCUAUUCUAACAUGUCUCACUGAGAAUUUAAAUGUGUUGGUCAGCAUAACCCAUGACAGGUUAUAGUCUCCUUUUGAGUUAUAUUCAGUGGUUUAGAAAAUCAUAAGGCAAGAGAUUAAAGGUCAAGCACUCUCAACACUAACAAAGUGAGUAAAUCACAUUAUUAAUCAUUGCCCUUGAACAUGUUUAUGUACUUCUAUGAAACGCUCAUAGAUUUAAAGCACAUGCAUACAAUAACAUACUUAAGCCGCUCUAAAUAUAGCCUUGCUACAUAAAUUCAAUACUCAAGUAUAGGAUAUAUUUAUAUCCCCUUAGGUUAAAUAUACACACACAAACACACAUUUUACAAAUACACUUUCCUUCAUAUAGUCAGAUGCAUACAAAAUCCUUUUAUUUGGCCAAAGUUAGAAAUAAUGGGAAUUAAGUCAAAACCCAUUACAGCAGCUCAAAGAUGUCCUAGUCAUUAUAUAAUUAAUUUAAUAUUAGAUCCUCAGACCUCAGUUUUUGAACAGGUAUUAGGCUUAAAAUUCCUUGAUAUACACAAGUGUCUGGGUGAAAGACUGCCACUGACCACUGUCAGAAACUUAAGGGCAGAAAAGGGGGAAAAUGAUGAUCCAAUUUGAUUUAAUACAUUUCAUUAUGAAGAGUUAGGUUUGGUUGAAUUUGACAGAAAGUACAAAUUAACAAUUAAUAAAUUUAUUUCUCUCUCACAGAAAAAAAAUACACAUGUAGGGAGUUCAUAGUUGAUAACAGUAGCUCUGCAGUGUCCUGCACAUGGGCUUCCAGCUUUCUUAACUAUAUCCAUAGGAUUAGGGACCCUCAAGUUUAUGGAUCCAGAUGCAGCACUAGCCAUUGCAUUCAUGUUCCAAGCAUUACAGUGGAAGAAAGGACAAGAAGGCAGCUUACCAAAAUGUACUCUUGCACUAGCAGCAAAGGAUGAUCUAGCACCUUGUUAGAAAUGCAAAUUAUUGGGCAGCCCGGGUGGCUCAGCAGUUUAGCGCCACCUUCAGCCCAGGGCCUGAUCCUGGAAGUCCCGGGAUCGAGUCCCAUGUUGGGGUCCCUGCAUGGAGCCUGCUUCUCCCUCUGCCUGUGUCUCUGCCUCUCUCUCAAUCUCUCUCUCUCUCUGUCUCAUGAAUAAAUAAAUAAAAUCUUAAAAAAAAAGAAAUGCAAAAGUAUUGAUGAGGGAGACUAAGUUGGCGGCAUGGUAGGAGGACCCUAUGCUCUUCUUAUCCCUCAAACACGACUAGGUAACUAUCAAAUCAUUCUUAAUAUCCAAGAAAUCAAUCAGAGGCCUGAGAACAAACUCAACUAUUUAUAUAAGAAAUAGGGAAAAGGAUUAUAAGAGAAAGGAGGGGAACUGAGUAGGUAAAAUUAGAGAGGGAGACAAACCAUGAGAGACUGCUAACUCUGGGAAAUGAACAAAGGGUUGAGGAAGGGGAGGUGGGUGGGAGAUGGGGUGACUGGGUGAUGGGCAGUAAGGAGGACACUUGAUGGAAUGAGCAUUGUGUGUGAUACUAUAGGUUGGCAAAUUGAAUUUAAAUUAAAAAAAUGUUAAAAAAAAAAAAA